CUACGGGGGGCAGCAGUGGGGAAUAUUGCGCAAUGGGCGAAAGCCUGACGCAGCGACGCCGCGUGGGUGAUGAAGGUUUUCGGAUCGUAAAGCCCUGUCGGAGAGGAAAGAACAACCUGGUGUAACGGCUAGGUCUGACGGUACCUCUCCAGAAAGCACCGGCUAACUCCGUGCCAGCAGCCGCGGUAAUACGGAGGGUGCGAACGUUGUUCGGAAUUACUGGGCGUAAAGCGCACGUAGGCGGCAUGUCAAGUCAGAUGUGAAAGCCCAUGGCUCAACCGUGGAAGUGCAUUUGAAACUGGCAAUCUAGAAUACGGGAGAGGGUUGUAGAAUUCCUGGUGUAGAGGUGAAAUUCGUAGAUAUCAGGAGGAAUACCAGUGGCGAAGGCGGCAACCUGGACCGAUAUUGACGCUGAGGUGCGAAAGCGUGGGGAGCAAACAGGAUUAGAUACCCCAGUAGUC
rnacentral:rRNA from 1 species